rnacentral:rRNA from 1 species
AUUGAACGCUGGCGGCAGGCUUAACUCAUGCAAGUCGAGCGGAGAUGAGGUGCUUGCACCUUAUCUUAGCGGCGGACGGGUGAGUAAUGCUUAGGAAUCUGCCUAUUAGUGGGGGACAACAUUCCGAAAGGAAUGCUAAUACCGCAUACGUCCUACGGGAGAAAGCAGGGGAUCUUCGGACCUUGCGCUAAUAGAUGAGCCUAAGUCGGAUUAGCUAGUUGGUGGGGUAAAGGCCUACCAAGGCGACGAUCUGUAGCGGGUCUGAGGGGAGGAUCCGCCACACUGGGACUGAGACACGGCCCAGACUCCUACGGGAGGCAGCAUUGGGGAAUAUUGGACAAUGGGGGGACCCCUGAUCCAGCCAUGCCGCGUGUGUGAAGAAGGCCUUAUGGUUGUAAAGCACUUUAAGUCGGGAGGAAGGGCUGCAGGUUAAUACCUUGCAGCCUUGACGUUACCGACAGAAUAAGCACCGGCUAACUUCGUGCCAGCCGCCGCCGUAAAAC